rnacentral:rRNA from 1 species
AACGAACGCUGGCGGCAGGCCUAACACAUGCAAGUCGAACGCCCAGCAAUGGGAGUGGCGCACGGGUGCGUAACACGUGGGAAUAUACCCUUGACUACGGAACAACGUCGGGAAACUGACGCUAAUACCGUAUAAUGUCUUCGGACCAAAGAUUUAUCGGUCAAGGAUUAGCCCGCGCCUGAUUAGCUAGUUGGUGAGGUAAUGGCUCACCAAGGCAACGAUCAGUAGCUGGUCUGGGAGGAUGAUCAGCCACACUGGAACUGAGACACGGUCCAGACUCCUACGGGAGGCAGCAGUGAGGAAUAUUGGACAAUGGGCGCAAGCCUGAUCCAGCCAUGCCGUGUGAGUGAUGAAGGCCUUCGGGUUGUAAAGCUCUUUUAACUGUGAAGAUAAUGACGGUAGCAGUAGAAAAAGCCCCGGCUAAAUUCGUGCCAGCCGCCGCAGUAAAAC